GCUGCAGUGGUGGAAUUGGUAGACACGCUAGCUUGAGGGGCUAGUGGAGGUUGACUCCGUGGAAGUUCAAGUCUUCUCUGCAGCA
rnacentral:tRNA from 2 species